UUUUAGGCGGCAACAAGCGCGCACAUAUAUGUAUAUAUGUAUAUAUAUAUAUAUCUUCAACCUCUGUUUUCCCUUCGACGCUCCCUUCUCUUUCUUGUUCUGUCUUCUUGCACGGGCGCACCGCGUUUAUCUUUCUCCUCUUUCUUUCCUUUAAGGAGAGGAUUCCGAAGCAGAUUGCCUCACAAAGAAUUUAAACCCAACACGACGAAGACGAAGAAUGUUUUCAACUAUCACCGACAAUAUAUUCUCUCCGAGAGCCUGCCUAUGGCGGUAUCUCUUUAUCCGGAAAACAUUAUCGGCGUUCAUGUACUCAACAUCUCUCUCUCCUUUGCUGAUUGCACAAAAUUUCCUGAAAAUCCUCGAUCUGUUCUUUCAGAAGCGCGGUGUAAUAUCCCGAGAAAAAAAAAAGGGAAUAGAAGAACCAAGUCGAAGGAAUCUUGAAAGGAAAUAAGAAAUCGAGGGGUCCAGAUCUCAUCCCGUAAUGGGGCUAUGAUUUAAUUCCACCAUCUAUAUAAAGGGCACUGUUUUUACGCCAAAAAAAAAAGAGAAGAAGAAACCCUAAGAGAGAGAGAGAGAGGCCGCCGACGGAUGGAGAGGGAGCAAAAUAGAAAGAAAUUCGGGAAGAGAGGAGAGCACCCUAGCAGAGAAGCAUCGUCGGAACUAAAGAGAGGAAGAGAGUCAACGCGAUUAUUUCCGUAUCGCCAAUCCGAGAGGUAAGUUCAUUUCUGCCCCUUUUUCGACUUGAAUCUGAAUUAUAGUGCAUGUAAAUUCAUUAAUCGAACGAGUAGGAUUGAAAUGAAAGUUCGGAAGACGGAGGGAAGCAUGCUGUAAGUGAAUUUAGCAGUGAAUGUAAAAUGCAUACACGUGCAUUGGCAUGCGUUAUAAUGUCUGGUUUUCAAUAUAAUCUUGGGUGAAUGAUAGUUGGAGGGAGAGAGCUCGGAUGAGGCUGACAGAAUGGGGUUCUGGGUGUAAAUUCUGGGUAGAGAUAAUCAUAAUAUAGAAGUGGAUUUUUGAGGUGAAUAACAGCCAGGGAAGGGGAAAUAUGGGGAUGAACAGAGUAAGCACCGAAUGAGAGAUGGGUACCGCUGAGAGGAAAGAAAGAACAAUAAAAUAAAAAAGGGGUUCCGGGUAGACUUAUUUAUGAACAAAAUCUGAUAGCUGAUACAGAUGAGAGACUUGCUGGAUAAUAGGUUUAGCGGAGAUUGAAUAGAGAUGAGCUGAAAAAUUUUCAGGUGAAUCUUACUUCUGUUAAGUGAUCCAAACAGUAAAUGAGAGUGAGGACAGAGUAGAAACAAUCACAAAUGGGCAUGAAAAGAGCGGAAUAUGGAGUCAUAAAUGGCAUGGAUGGUAGUGUGGGAUAAUGAGGACGUUGGUGACAGAAGCUAGAGAGUAAAUAUUAAUCAAUAUUAAACUGACGCUAAUUCACAUUUUUAUGUAUGCUGUUUCUUAUUAUGUGGUGUUUGUGUGUGUGGCCUGUGCUGGCCGGAGUGAUGUGAACCAGCUGACUAAUGAUCAGUCAGCGGAGUGGACAACAAAGGGUCCGAAGGGGAGUGAAUCUCCCGGAUAAGUUUUAAAAGCAAGUUAAUAAAUAACAAAUUGUCUGAUACCUUAAAGCAAUUGCUGUUUUGAAGACUUGAGCAAGUCUCGUGAUUAUCAGCCCUAUUUUUAUUAGUCUUAGUCAAUGCAUUACCUUUAUAAUUUUCCAAGUGUCUAUGAUAGCUAACGUUCUUGGACCCGUUGGAUAACUAAUUAUCAAUAGGGUGUCUUGGUUCAUUAUUUUGAAAGUUCAAUUUUCUUAUCCUUUGAUAUGAAAGAAUCUCUUCUUGAUGGCUUGUAAUGAAAGUAACAAUAUCUGAUUUCACCGUUACGAAAGAGAACUUGUUUGUUCAACUUAAACACAUUUUGUCGCUAAUGCAAAUGUUUUUUAAUUUCUGGGGCCAAAAGAAAAUGGUGCGCAUGUUAAAAGUGUUUUAGUUUCAAAAUUGAGGCUACUUGAUUCAUAGUUUUGAAUAGUAAAAGUUUAUAAUAUUUUGCUAUAAAAGUGAGUAUGUUGAUUUAUUGUUUUAAAAUAAAUGUAUUUGAUCUUUUAAAUUAUUGUCCCUUGGCACCUAAGUAAAUGCUCCUUCGGCUUAGUGGAGCAAAAUAAAACUGCUUUAGUUCAUGUGGUUGUCCCCUGUAAAUUGUUUGUUGGUCGAGGAAUAUGGAUGUCUUGGUUCAUGAUUUCAAAAGUUCAUCUCAUCUCGUUCGUUGUGAAAUAAUAGUUUUUCAGUAUCCCAUAUUGGAAGUAUGUUACUCUCGGAACUGAGAAUGGAUCAAUUUAUUAUCCUUUGAUAUGAAAGAAUCUCUUCUUGAUGGCUUGUAAUGAAAGUAACAAUAUCUGAUUUCACCGUUACGAAAGAGAACUUGUUUGUUCAACUUAAACAUAUUUUGUAGCUAAUGCAAAUGUUUUUUAAUUUCUGGGGCCAAAAGAAAAUGGUGCGCAUGUUAAAAGUGUUUUAGUUUCAAAAUUGAGGCUACUUGAUUCAUAGUUUUGAAUAGUAAAAGUUUAUAAUAUUUUGCUAUAAAAGUGAGUAUGUUGAUUUAUUGUUUUAAAAUAAAUGUAUUUGAUCUUUUAAAUUAUUGUCCCUUGGCACCUAAGUAAACGCUCCUUUGGCUUAGUGGAGCAAAAUAAAACUGCUUUAGUUCAUGUGGUUAUCCCCUGUAAAUUGUUUGUUGGUCAAGGAAUAUGGAUGUCUUGGUUCAUGAUUUCAAAAGUUCUAGUCUCAUCUCGUUCGCUGUGAAAUAAUAGUUUNNN
rnacentral:lncRNA from 1 species